AUACGUAGGUGGCGAGCGUUGUCCGGAAUCACUGGGCGUAAAGGGCGCGUAGGCGGUAAUUUAAGUCAGGUGUGUAAACUUUGGGCUUAACCCAGAGAUUGCACUUGAUACUGGAAUACUUGAGUGCAGGAGAGGGCAGUGGAAUUCCUAGUGUAGCGGUGAAAUGCGUAGAUAUUAGGAGGAACACCAGUGGCGAAGGCGGCUGCCUGGACUGUAACUGACGCUGAGGCGCGAAAGCGUGGGGAGCGAACAGGAUUAGAUACCCUGGUAGUCCACGCCGUAAACGAUGGGUACUAGGUGUAGGAGGUAUCGACCCCUUCUGUGCCGGAGUUAACACAAUAAGUACCCCGCCUGGGGAGUACGGCCGCAAGGUUGAA
rnacentral:rRNA from 1 species